GAGUUUGAUCAUGGCUCAGGAUGAACGCUAGCGGCGCGCCUAAUGCAUGCAAGUCGAGCGAUGAGGCACCUUUGGGUGUACAUCAGCGGCAGACGGGUGAGUAACACGUAGGUGACCUACCCCGAAGACGGGGAUAACAGGUGGAAACAUCUGCUAAUACCCGACUGGACUCUGAGCGGAAGCGAGGAGUAAAGGCUACGGUGCUUCGGGAGGGGCCGUGCGGCCUAUCAGCUAGUUGGUAGGGUAACGGCC
rnacentral:rRNA from 1 species